AGUUACUUAAGAAAAUUGUCAUAUUCUUAAGCUUGUUUUCAUAUACAGUAACAGUUUAGGGUAGAGAAUAUAAUGCCUGUUUGUAUCCAACUUUUUAAGUGUUAGGAUAACCAUCAAUGAUCCUAUAAAACCAGUUAUCUUAUAUGGGAAUUUGUGUUAUGAUGGGUAUUACAAAGUAUAUAGAGUUAACUAUUGACUUUUAAAUUUAUUUUUGUUUGUUACUAGGUUAUUUAGACAUCAGGCCAGUCAAUUCUCAUACGCAGGUUAAAUACUUCAGAAGACAGAAAACCUGUAUAAUAGUUAACAUUUAUUGAGUGCUCAUUAUUUGCUGGGCACUAUUUUUUUAAGUACAUUACAUUGACUAAUUUAAUUCUAGCAAAAACUCUAUGCAGUUCAUACUAUUACACUCCCCAUAUUUAUAAGUAUAACAUGCUAAGCUGACCUUCAGUCCAAAGUCUUUGUGAAUAUUUCUAAUUACUUGUUAUAAACUAAUUUUAUUACAGGAAGCAAGGUAGCAAAAGAGUGAUUAAGAGCUUGGGCUCCGAGACAGAUAGUCUGUCUUUGAAUGCCAGUUCCAGCACUUAAUAGUAGCAUGAAAUUGGGCAGCCUUGCAGAUCCGGUACCUGUCUCAGGGCAGGCUAAUUCUAAGGAAGAGUACACACUGACUGGAGAGCAAGAUCUGCAAAUGCAAACCAAACAAUACAGAGCACAAACCCUCAGCCAUCUUCUUUGUCAAGCUGGGCCACUCCCUGUGCUUGCCCCAUCAUCCCAGGGCCUGGUAGGGAACAACUAGGGAGAGUCCUGGCCGCCCAGAGCUCACCACCACCAUUGUCCCUACUCUGUCCUUAGCCUGCUUCCCUCCCUGGGUGGUCUUUCCUGCUACAGCCCCAAUAAAGGCUCAUGCCCACGCUUUUGCCUUGCUUCUUGUGUUUCUCUCUUCUGACUCCUGACAAAUUCAGGUGUUUCAGAGCGAGGUCUCUUGGGAACUAUCUUUUUUUUUUUUUUCUGGUGCUGGGGAUUGAACCCAGGGCCUUGUGCAUGCAAGGGGCAAGAACUCUACCACUGAGCCACAUUCCCCAACCCCCAAAUUAUCCUUUAAAUGGCAACGCUCUCCUGAUCCUACUUGAAUAAAAACAAAAUCCUUGGUACAUUUUAAAA